CAACGGCGCCCAGCCCGCCAGAAGAGCGCGAGGCGAGCAGACGGCAGGGAGCCGGUCGGGUAGGGCGAGCGCAGCCGGCGGGGGGGGGGCGGGGGGGGGAGUGGCGGUGGUGAGGAAGGAAAGGGAAGAGGCGGAGCGUGGGAGCGCACAGUGUCAGGAAUACAAUAGUGCUCCGCGCCUCCUCGGCCGCCGCCGCCCAGCAGCCUGCCUAGGGCUGAGGCCUGACGGGCCAGGCGGCCAGGGCGAGGGCGGGAGCCGAGCGCUAGGGGGCGGCCCCCGCGGCUCCUCGUGAGGCCCGGGCGGGAGGGCGGGGUGAGGAGGAGAUUAGGGGGCAGGUGCGAGGGAGGGAAGAGAAGAAAGCGGGCGGCUAGGGGGCGGUUACCACCCGAGCCGGACUCGCUCGGCACGUUGAGGGGCCCCUGUGUUGCAGGGAAGGAGCGGAGCCCGCAGCAGCGCCGGAGGUAGGCGCUCUCGAGGGCAGGGCAGCCGCAGCAGCGAGCCUGUGGGCGUAGUGCGGCUCUGGCGGCGGGAGUGGCGGCCUCGAGGAGUGGGACGAAGGCGGCGUGGAGCUAGGGGUCCCGGCCUCGCCGCGCUCAGUUCCACGAAGCGGUCGCCUCCGGUGUCCCCCGAGAGCCUCAGAGCAGAGAGCGUGUGUGGGCUGAGGCAGUUCAAAGUGAAGGGAUCGGGAACGACUUGGAAACAGCUUUCAGGGCACAUGUGAAUCACUUUCUAGCUUGUAGAGGUCUUUCCAUAGACAAAAGGAAACUUACCUGAUCCAAUCUGCCAGACUUGGGAAAGGGAAGGUAAGAACUCAAAGGGCUUUCUUUCUGAGCAUGAGGGGAUGUCCUUGGGGGCACUAUGGGUGUUCAGAUAUGCCCUGAUGAAAAAGGAUCUGGCAAAGGGAAGUUGUACUGGGACUUUGGCCAGUAGGAGGCAUCUGUGAUACCAUGAGUGUCCUUCAAGAAACAAAUAGUUUUUCUACUCCAACUCAGAAACCAUGGCUAUGCCCCACUACAUAGAGAAGUCAUUUUUUUUCUGAUACCCGAUGAUAG
rnacentral:lncRNA from 1 species